GAUGAACGCUGGCGGUGUGCCUAAUACAUGCAAGUCGAGCGGUAACACUUCGGGUGACGAGCGGCGGACGGCUGAGUAACGCGUAGGAAUGUACCCCGGAGUGAGGGAUAAGCACCAGAAAUGGUGUCUAAUACCGCAUAACCUCUUCGGAGAAAAGCUUCGGCGCUUUGGGAACAGCCUGCGUCUGAUUAGCUAGUUGGGAGGGUAAAGGCCUACCAAGGCGACGAUCAGUAACUGGUCUGAGAGGAUGAUCAGUCACACUGGAACUGAGACACGGUCCAGACUCCUACGGGAGGCAGCAGUGAGGAAUUUUCUGCAAUGGGCGAAAGCCUGACAGAGCAAUACCGCGUGAAGGAUGAAGGCCUACGGGUUGUAAACUUCUUUUCUCAAGGAGGAAGAAAUGACGUUACUUGAGGAAUAAGCAUCGGCUAACCCUGUGCCAGCAGCCGCCGUAA
rnacentral:rRNA from 1 species